rnacentral:rRNA from 1 species
GCCUCUGGCUCUUGGUGAUUCAUAAUAACUUAACGAAUCGCAUGGCCUUGCGCCGGGAUGGUUCAUUCAAAUUUCUGCCCUAUCAACUUUCGAUUGUAAGAUAGAGGCUUACAAUGGUUUCAACGGGUAACGGCGAAUUAGGGUUCGAUUCCGGAGAGGGAGCCUGAGAAACGGCUACCACAUCCAAGGAAGGCAGCAGGCGCGCAAAUUACCCAAUGCUAAUUCAGCGAGGUAGUGACAAUAAAUACUGAUACGGGGCUCUUUCGGGUCUCGUAAUUGGAAUGAGUACAAUCUAAAUCCCUUAACGAGGAACAAUUGGAGGGCAAGUCUGGUGCCAGCAGCCGCGGUAAUUCCAGCUCCAAUAGCGUAUAUUAAAGUUGUUGCAGUUAAAAAGCUCGUAGUUGAACUUCAGACCUGGCUGGGCGGUCUGCUUAACGGCAUGUACUGUCUGGCUGAGUCUUACCUCUUGGUGAGCCAGUGUGCCCUUUAUUGGUGUGCAUUGGGGAACCAGGACUUUUACCUUGAGAAAAUUAGAGUGUUCAAAGCAGGCCUAUGCCCGAAUACAUUAGCAUGGAAUAAUAAAAUAGGACGGUGCGGUUCUAUUUUGUGGUUUCUAGAGUCGCCGUAAUGAUUAAUAG